rnacentral:lncRNA from 1 species
AGCACACAGAAAUUCCUGAGCCAAGGAUUAAACCCAUGCCACAGCAGUGACAAUGGCCAAAUCCGUAACUGCUAGGCUACCAAGGAACUCUCUAAAUACUCUACUCUUUUUUUAUGAUUUUUAUUUUUUCCAUGAUAGUUGAUUUACAGUGUUCUGUCAAUUUUCUACUCUACAGCAAAGUGACCCAGUCGCACGUACAUAUAUAUAUUCUUUUUCUCACACUAUCCUCCAUCAUGCUCCAUCACAAGUGACUAGGUAUAGUUCCCAGUGCCAUACAACAGGAUCUCGUUGCUUAUCCAUUCCAAAUGUAAUAGUUUGCAUCUAUUAACCACAGAUUCCCAGUCCAUCCCAGUCCCUCCCGCUCUCCUUUGACAACCACAAGUCUGUUUUCCAAGUCCAUGAUUUUCUUCUCUGUGGAAAGAUUCAUUUGUGCCAUAUAUUAGGUUCCAGAUAUAAGUGAUAUCAUAUGGUAUUUGUCUUUCGGACUUACUUCACUUAGUAUGAGAGUCUCUAGUUCCAUUGCUGUUGCUGCAAAUGGCAUUAUUUUGUUCUUUUUAUGGCUGCAUAGUAUUCCAUUGUAUAUAUAUACCACAUCUUUUUAAUCCAUUCAACAACAUUUAGGUUGUUUCCAUGUCUUUGCUAUUGUGAGUAGUGCUAUAAUGAACAUACGAGUGCAUGUAUUUUUUUCAAUGAAAGUUUUGUCUGGAUAUAUGCCCAGGAGUGGGAUUGCUGCAUCAUACAGUAGUUCUAUAUUUAGUUUUCUGAGGAUCCUCCAUAUUGUUUUCCAUAGUGGUUGUACCAAUUUAUAUCCCACCGGCAGUGUAGGAGGGCCCCUUUUCUCCACACCCUCUCCAGAGUUUGUUAUUUGUCGACUUGUUAAUGAUGGCCAUUAUGAUAGGUGUGAGGUGAUACCUCACUGUAGCUUUGAUUUUCAUUUAUCUAAUAAUUAGUGAUGUUGAGCAUUUUUUCAUGUGCCUUAAUACUCUACUCUUAAUGUAAUUGUUUCUAUUACUGCAUAUGCGUUGCAAUAAAAUUUUUUUUUAAAAAAAGCAGUGAGCCAGAUGUAGCCAAAGGGCCAUAAUUUGCCAAAUUUUGCUUGAUACCAUCAUGAUCUGAUUGGGUGUACAUUCACACACACAUACACACACACACCUCACUCUUUUCCCAAUGGAAGUGAGCUGUUACUUUGAUGCCUUUUAAAAUAGCUAUUAUGAGAGGAAUCAUAUGAAAUUGCCAAUAGCAUGCAGUUGUAGAUUAUUUAAUUCUUCCUAAUGUUAGCACUGAAUAAACUACCAGAUAAUUAAAAUGAAAGUUGGUUGCAAUGUAUUUGACAAAAGGAUGGUAGGCAACGGAUUACAGUUCUCUUCAGUUUUAAAUGAAAACCGAGUUAACUUAUCCAUCCCAUUUUAACUAUAUUCAUAGCUCUUCUGUUAAAACAGUGUAAAAAAAAAAUCCUUUGCAUCCUAUACUGCUUGUCAGCUGCCUUUUUUCUACUAGCAUUUCUCUCCUCUUUCACAGCCAGAUUUCUUAUAUUGAGUGUUUCUAUAGCUUCUAUCUUCCAUUAUUUCUCUUUGUUCUUGCUACCAUCCUAAUUUCUCUUUUACAUUUGCCAAGGUCACCAGUGACCCCCGAGACCCUAAGUCAGAUGAGAAAUUUUCAGUCUUCGUAUUUCUCGAUCAUGCCUUUCUAAAACUCUCAGUACCUUGGCCUCUAAGACAUCGCAGUUUUGAACCUUCCUAUCUCUGUGCUCCACUUGGGUUUCUUUGCAGGCUCUUCUUUAAUUGGCCCUGAGCAUUCUAAAGUCUAGGCCACCUCUCUUCUUCUCUUAUUCUUUCUGAUGUGGGUGGCAUUUGACACUUCACAAAUUUCCAUCCCUAGCCUGGUUCUCCCUUCUGAACAACCAACCUGUAAAUACAACUGCCUUUUUUACAUGCCACAUAGCGCCACAAAAAUCAACAAAAUCAGAAUCAUGAUUGCCUUCUCAGCUCUCAGAUGUCUCACCAAUUCUCCUCCAGUUUCUUUUUCUUUUCUCUUUGGAGCCAUUCUUUACAUCUUCCUUUCUCAACUUCCAUCACCAACCCCCUACCACAUGUGGAUGAGCUUGCCAAAAGAAUAUUUUUCCAUUUCAUCCCUUUCUGUACUACCACUUGUUUCCAAGCUACUGCCUAUCUCACUUGAAUUUUUGGUCAUAUGCUUCAUGUAUCUAAAUCCUUUUUCCUCUGAUCCGUAGAUGCUUCACUUUUUAGCCAGAGUAAGAGAUAUAAAGCACAAAUAUAAUCAUUCAGUGGCUACCCAUGAAGCACAGGGUGAAAACCAACAUCCUUAACGUGGCCUACAGGAUGUGCAUGGCCUCUCGCCUCUGCAGACCCAGCUUCAUCUGGACCACUCUCCUUUCUCCUUCUCUGCUCCAUCACUCAGGCCUUCUUCUGGUUCCCCAGAUACACUUUUCUUCCUCUCCACCCCAAGGCCUAUGUUCUCCCUGUCCCUGUGCCUGGCAUGCUGCCAUCCCCCUUGUGUGACUUUCAUUACAUUUUAUUGGGGCUGGUUCAUUUAUCCCCACCCCUCAGAUGUCAGGGCACCACUUCUCCCACAGGAAAACUUUCCUCAUACCUCGAUUGCAUCAUAUUCCUUACUCCUACUGCUCUACUGCCCUCUUCAGAGAGAUACAUCAGAGUUGUUCUACAUUGUUAGCAGAUUAUUUUAUUGACAUUGACUUCUCUCACUAGAUAAUGGACUCCAUGGAAGUCCAUGGAAAUGACUACGUGUAUUUUGUUUAUUCAGUUUAUUUGUACCACUAACAUCUACCAGGGUACCUGGUGUAUAAUAGGUUCUUAAUGCCUAUUUGUGGAAUGAGUCACUGAAGUGGAGGGCUUUGAUCAGCUGGCUGACUGACCCAGAUAUUUGCUUGCUGCUGACCUGAUAACAAGAGAUAGUGCUAGAGUCAAGGUGUUUGGGUCUUGCUACAGGCUGAAUGUUUCUGUCCCCUUAAAAUCCAUAUGUGGAAAUCCCAACCCCCAAGGUGAUAAUAUUAGAAAGUGGGGCUUUGGGGAGGUUAUUAGGUCAUAAGGAUGGAGCCCUCAUGAGUGAGAUUAGGGACUCUGUACAAGAGCAGAGAAACCUCCCUUGUCCUUUCCACCAUUUGCGGUCACACUGAGAAGGUACCAGGUAUGAAUCAGAACGUGGAUGCUUUCCAGAUACCAAAUCUUCCAGCACCUUGACCCUGGGCCCCUCAGCCUCCAGAAAUGUGAGAAAUAGAUUUCUGUUAUAUAUAAGCUACCUAGUUUAAGGGGAUUUUAUUUUGUUAUAACAGCUCAAAUGGACUAAGACAGGUAGAAAUCGUCUCCCAAAUAACCAGAUUCCAAAAGUGACAAACUGUGCUGUAUAUCAUUACCUGAAGGUAUGAUUGUUUUUCUUUUGAAAAUUUUCCAUGUCUUAUGUAUAUUUGAUGAUUUCACUGUAACAAAAAUGUUUUUGUUUAGUAAUAGGCAAUUUUAAGUUUUAACAACAGAAGUGAUGUAAUAUUUUUAAAUUAACAGAUAACUUAAACCUAAACUUGAAACAUUGAAAGUUUAACAUAUCUAAAUAUUCUCAGGAAGUUGUGUUUAAAUAGUCUUGGAAUGAAAAUAUCCUGGAGUAAGAUUUCUUUAGACAGAGCAAGCAGAUGCUCUUUUGACAAAGAAAUAAAAUAGCAUUUUAAAAAAUGUUUCAUUAUAGUUAUUAGGGGACCUGAUAACUUUAAAUGGAAUUACAUAAUUUUCAAAAUAUCUCAAUUUUUAGGUCACUUACCAAAUAAAAGAGUUUUUAUUUUAUAAAAUAUAGCCCCAAAUCCCUUAAUGAGUAUGAUAUAAAAACAUUAUACACUAGUAUUAGUUAUUUAAUAUAAUAAUUACAUUUAAUUAUAUUUUUGAAUUCAAACUGCUUUAUUUUAGAUAAGCGACAAUAUUCUACUAAGUUAAAACUUAAGUGUACUUAAGAGAAACGAACUCUCAGUUUUCUUUUAAACUGAAAACUAUGAAAUAACUGCUUCAAAUCAAUGCUCUUUAUCAGACUAAGAUUAAAACUGUAUAUAAAGAUAGCCAAGAAACAGACUCAUACGUGUAUGGUCAUUAAAUUGAUGACAGAGUUGACACUGCAGUACAGUGAGGAAAAUGAUAGACUUUUCGUAAGUGGUUCUAGGUCAACUGGAUACACAUAUGGGAAAAGAAAAGAAUCUUGAUUCCUAUCUCACAGCAUAUGCAAAAAUCAAUGCUAAAUGGGUUUUAGACUUUAAAGAAAAUAGAAUAUUUCUCAACAAAUACAUAGAAAACUGUCAUCUUAACUUAAGGAAAGGUAAACAGAUGCAGAAAGCACUAACCCUAAAGUAAAAAACAAACAAAACUAAUCUAUUGGGCAACAUUAAAAUUGACAUCGCUUCAUCAAAUAUCAUAUUUAAGAGAAUACAAAAACAAGUCACAGAUGGAAGAUAUUUUAAUUCCUGUAUUGGUCAAAGGGCCUGUAGUUGGAAUUUAUAAAUAUCCCUAGAAUCAUUAAGAAUAUGAGGCAACCCAAGACUUUAGCUUUCAACCAAGAUGGAGUUAAAGAAAAUAGAUUUACCCACCCUACUGAAACAGCUUUUUUGAAAAAAGACAAAAUAUAUGAAACAACAAUUUUUAAGACAUUGAAUAUCCAGCAUGAAGGACAGUAAUACCUGGAGGUGGAAAAUAAACAAGGUGAGCACUGCAGCUGUCCUGGCUUAUUGCCUGUAGAGACUUUCUAGGCCAGGGAGUUUGCAGUCCUCUCUGAUUUGAGGAGGUGGAUCUGGAAAUUCAGGGAGGCUAAUGCAUUUGGAAGUAUCAGAACACAAUACCAGACAGGAAAGAGCUACAGAGAGAGAGAGCUCUGGAGAUCCCAACUCAGGUGGUCCCCUCCUGACCGCCUGAAUGGUCAUAUAAAUAAAAUUAUCCACACUUGGAGUUCCUGUCAUGGUGCAGUGGUUAACAAAUCCGACUAGGAACCAUGAGGUUUCAGGUUCGAUCCCUGGCCUUGCUCAGUGGGUUAAGAUCUGGCAUUGCCAUGAGCUGUGAUGUAGGUCGCAGAUGCGGCUCAGAUCCCGCGUAGCUGUGGCUCUGGCGUAGGCCAGUGGCUACAGCUCUGAUUAGACCCCUAGCCUGGGAACCUCCAUAUGCUG